CCUACGGGCGGCAGCAGUGAGGAAUAUUGGUCAAUGGGCGUAAGCCUGAACCAGCCAAGUCGCGUGAGGGAUGAAGGUUCUAUGGAUCGUAAACCUCUUUUAUAAGGGAAUAAAGUGUGGGACGUGUCCUAUUUUGUAUGUACCUUAUGAAUAAGGAUCGGCUAACUCCGUGCCAGCAGCCGCGGUAAUACGGAGGAUCCGAGCGUUAUCCGGAUUUAUUGGGUUUAAAGGGUGCGUAGGCGGCCGUUUAAGUCAGCGGUGAAAGUCUGUGGCUCAACCGUGGGAUUGCCGUUGAAACUGGGGGGCUUGAGUAUGUGUGAGGCAGGCGGAAUGCGUGGUGUAGCGGUGAAAUGCUUAGAUAUCACGCAGAACCCCGAUUGCGAAGGCAGCCUGCCAAGCCAUGACUGACGCUGAUGCACGAAAGCGUGGGGAUCAAACAGGAUUAGAUACCCUAGUAGUC
rnacentral:rRNA from 1 species